GGGAUAGAAUUCCAGGAGUAGCGGUGAAAUGCGUAGAUAUCUGGAGGAAUACCAAAGGCGAAGGCAGUCCUCUGGUCCGAUACUGACACUGAGGUACGAAAGCGUGGGGAGCAAACAGGAUUAGAUACCCUGGUAGUCCACGCCCUAAACGAUGUCGAUUAGCCAUUGGAAGGACCCCUUUUCCUUUCAGUGACGUAGCUAACGCGUUAAAUCGACCGCCUGGGAAGUACGACCGCAAGGUUAAAACUCAAAGGAAUUGACGGGGACCUGAACAAGCGGUGAAUGAUGUGGAUUAAUUCGAUGCUACGCGAAGAACCUUACCUACCUUUGACAUGGCCAAAGUUCUACCGAGAGGCGGAAGUACUCGUAAGAGGAUUGGCGCACAGGUGCUGCAUGGUUGUCGUCAGUUCGUGUCGUGAGAUGUUGGGUUCAGUCCCGCAACGAACGCAACCCUUAUCUUUAAUUGCUCCUAUUUUAACAGGCACUUUAAAGAAACUGCCAAUGAUAAGUUGGAGGAAGGUGGGGAUCACGUCAAGUCCGCAUGGCCUUUAUAGGUAGGGCUUCACACGUCAUACAAUGGUUAGAACAAAGAGCUGCAAAUUCGUAAGAAGGAGCCAAUCUCACAAACCUAACCUCAGUUCGAAUUGCGGUCUGCAACUCGAGCGCAUGAAGCCGGAAUCGCUAGUAAUCGUGGAUCAGAAUGCCACGGUGAAUACGUUCUUAGGUCUU
rnacentral:rRNA from 1 species